UCGCGAUGCUGCGCUAAAUAAGAGAACGUUAACAAAGAGAUAAUAUUUUAAAACAAUAAUUGUCAAAUAAUGUGACUACAUCUAUCAUUUUGUCUUGAGAUAAAGUAUCGUCAAAAAUAAAAUGUGCUGUGUUUGCGACUGUAUCUGUCAAAUUAUAAGCCUGGCAGUGGCGAUAGCUGCUAUUAUAGUGAUUGUGGUCAUUUCUUUGUAUGCUACUGGACAUAUUUGACAUUGUGUUAUUAAGAAGAGUGUAAUAUUUAACGUAAUAAAUUAAUAAGUAAACAAUGGAUAAACUGUCUAGUCACAACAAUUACUUCUUGUUAUAUG